UACGUAGGGUGCAAGCGUUAAUCGGAAUUACUGGGCGUAAAGCGUGCGCAGGCGGUUGGGUGUGUCAGAUGUGAAAUCCCGAGGCUCAACCUCGGAACUGCGUCUGAAACUACUCGACUAGAGUACUGGAGAGGGAAACGGAAUUCACGGUGUAGCAGUGAAAUGCGUAGAUAUCGUGAAGAACACCAGAGGCGAAGGCGGUUUCCUGGACAGCUACUGACGCUCAGGCACGAAA
rnacentral:rRNA from 1 species